AGAGGCAGGGUCUGGAAGUCCUUAUCCUGGAAGAACAUGUAAUACACCAUGUCCACCAGACGUCGAGCGAUCAAGGUUCCCAGCAGCCCCAUGUUCACUGCCGCAGG
rnacentral:lncRNA from 1 species